rnacentral:misc_RNA from 1 species
CCACUGACCAAGGCCUCCCUAGUCGAGCCACUCAUAACACCUCAUUACCUGGUGUCGGAAAACAGAUUGAGGCAGAGGCCAUGGUGAUGACCAGCUGUUGCCCCUGCAUUUCCACUGCUGCUGCUGCUGCUGCCGCCACCGCUGCUGCUGCUGUUGCUACUGCUGCCAUGAUGAAUUUUAGCCUGCUCGAAAAUACCAUGGAGCCGUAAGAUGAGAGAGAUGCCGAGGAUUGUGUCUUCUGCAUGCGUCUCAUGGGUGUGAUCACGUGCACGUCCCCCAUGAACCCUACAGGCAAUGUCACCUAUACACACAAAAAGUUCAAACGGGCCCAAAUUGAGGCCUGUGACACUGUGGAAAAACAGCAGCUGCAUCAAGAAGAGACUGGAAAGAAUGGGAAGACCGAAACUUUGGCAAUUCCUACAAAAGCCUCGAUAGUAUCAAUAGAAGGAACUCCCUCUCCUAUCAAUGGAAUUUUGUCCUCUCAAACACCAAAUCACAUUUCUGGACAUACUGGUCAUUUUCCUCUGGAAUCUGAUGAUGGUAAGAAAAAGAAUAGUGGUAACAAUGGUGGGAAGUACAAAUGUAAGUAUUGUGGAGUGGGAUGUGCCAAGCCCUCAGUGUUGGAUAAACACAUCCGCACACACACCAAUGAGCGGCCUUAUAGCUGCGACCAAUGUUGUGUAGCCUUUAAAACCAAAAGCAACUACUUGAAGCACACUAGAUCCCGAGCUCAUGCCCUUAGAUGUGAUGGUGGGUUACAAGAAGGCAGUGAUGGAACAAUAGAAUCUAGUGACAACCUCGAUGUUGAUGGAGAUGAAGGCUCUAGAUGCCCCAGUCGAGAAGAUGGCCAACAGUGCCAACCUGCUGACUUUACUGUGGCUCAUAUGUCUGCUAGGGAUCAACAGGUUGAUUAUACAAGCACAUCAGAGGCCACAAGGUUAUAUCAUGAAGAGUCUGGGAAAGAUCGAGGAAAUUUUAUAUACAAACCUAAAUUUCGUGUCCGUGCUCAGUAUUCCCUUCAGGAAGAAAGUAUAUCUAAGGGACUCUCACCGCCCAUCCAAAGACAGCAGUCAACCCCACCUCAGGAUGUCACUACAUUUGACAGUAAUACCAUCAACUCAUCAACAUAUCAGAUCCAUGCUGCCUCCAAUCCCAACCAUCCCAGUCAAGGUGCUCACUCCAGUCCCAGUUCUCAUUCCCCAGGCCCUGCCAAUGCCUCCAAGCAGUGCUUUCCUCCAAUUGAAAUUCGGGCUGGAAAUAGAAAAGAUGAAGGAACAAUGUCUGGUCAGCGUAACUCUGUAGUAAUCUCUCAGACUACAAGCCCACUUUGGAAAGGUAUGAAGUCUCCAAGUCCAGAGUUAGUAGGACAACAUAUCACUAAACUGAUUGUUGAAAACCAAGCCAUUGUGGAGACCCACAAUCCACUGUGGUCACGACGUUACCGGCGUCAAUCCAGUCUUGGCUCUUCAUCAAGUGAGAGUGAUGGGUCAGGCAGUGGUAAAAGUCGGAGAUAUAGUCUUGCAGAUACAGGCAUAAAAAAUUCUAAACCUACUACUACUGGUCCCCCUCCUGCAGGUUCAGGUCCUACACAGCCCCUUCCUCGAGAACGAAGGCAUUCCAUCAAUGCUGAGGCUAUAAUGGUUGAACCACAGUCUUCGUACAGCCCCAGUCUUCCACCCAACCCACACCUGCCUCUUGCUCAGCCCACAGUCACCCCCAUCAGUGCUUCCAAACCUUCCAUAUCAUCACAAGGACUUACUACCUCUUAUUCUCAGCCUGCACCUGCCUUCACUGCCUCUCAUGUGACUAUGGUGGACUUCAGUUUGACAGAUGGAGCACGCAAGAGGUGCAUCUCUGAGGGCCCCAGUGUUGUGCGAGACUUGUCCAAAAGUCGAGUAAUGCCACAUGAUGAUCCAGCUCUUCUGCGUCAGCAUCCACAAAAUCCGGAGGGCUCUGUUAUAAAAAACCUUCUUUUAACUGCUCGUGCUGGUAUUACUGGUGCCAUUGAUUUAAACCUAGAGAGACAAGAGCGUGCAAGGAUUGCCAAUCAAGUCGUUUCCCAUGGGGAAAUUGGACCAUACACAUGUUUGCGAUGCAGAAUCCCUUGUCGAAGUCCUGAGGAAUUAGAAAUUCAUAUCCGACAUUACUGUGGACAGAGACCAGGAAGUGAAAGAGGUACCCCAGAUUCUACUAAAAGUGGUGAUGGGGGAAGAUGGCCUGGAGAGCAAGAUGUAGCUUUAGAUCUACAAAAAAAGCCUGAGUACAUGGACCAACAUGACCGUGAGCGUUCAUCAUCAAGAGGAUCAUCAACUGGGGAAACUAUACAUAGGCGAGGCUCAGAGGAAGAUUCAAGAUAUCAUUUAGAUAUGUCACCAAAGGUAUAUAGAAGUAAAUCAGCUCCAGAUGGGUCUUUACCGCCUACAAAGAAAAGAAAAAUGUCUGACAUUGAGAUCACGUCACACGAUAGAUCAAUGUUUCUUUCACCAAAUUUUUCUUCUAAGGGGCAAGGAGGAAUGAAGUCUGAAUCUGGGCUAAAGAUUAUGGAUGAUAUGAACAAACAAAAUAAACUCAAUAACCACCAACUGUUUGGUGGUGAGGUUCAAAUCUGUGAUGGUAAUGAGUUGAAAACCAUGAGAAUAGACCCCAGCCAGCAAUCAAGCCCAGGUUUAGAUAUCUGCAUUCCACCACAACAGUUGGGAGGCAGAGUAUCAAAGCCAGAAGUGUCUGCCCCAACUUCAGUGGUGAUGACCAUUGCCAAGUCUGGCCUCAACUCUGGGGGAACAAUGGUCCAGGUAGAAAACCAAAUCAGCACAUCUUCUACCAAAACUGUUCCAAGCGUAGUGAGCUCAUCAAUGAAUCGUGAACAGUCUGUUCUUUUACAAAAUGUACCAAAGGCAGCUCAUCCCCCAAAUAUGUACAAUGAAGCUAACCAGUUUGCAUUUUCUCCUUCAUUUCUACAGUAUGCACCUCACCUUCAGCUUCCCAACUUGGCCAUCCCUGGGAUUCCUACUCCAGACUUAGGGGGUUUAUCAUUUUCAACUUAUCCUCCUCGCAUCCCUGGUCAAACAUUUCUUCAUGGACAGACUUCCCUUAUGCAGGGGAUUUUAGGAAAUCACAAACAAAACACUGUUAGAUCCCCAGUAGUUUCAUCUAGGGUCUCCCCUGGUGGCUUUGCAGUGAGUGCAGCAGGAGGUUCGUCAGGUUCAUCCAGUGUUAUGCAUGGAGGUUCAAAUGAUAUUCGUAUAGGAGACAGCACUGGAGCACCAAAAAACCUUUUAGUUAAAGACAAGGAGAAAGAGCACCAGAAAACUCCCAGUAAGUUACCCCCUGCUGGCUAUCCUGCUCUUAUACCUGUUGGAGAUGAAAAGGUGCCAUAUGUCCCUGGGAUCCCAGGACCUUAUUCACAAGGCAGUGUGUUGCAGUCUCACCCUCCUACUGCUCAGAGAAGUCCCAUGACGGCUUUCACUCCUGUUACAUCAUCUAUAACCUCAAGUGCACCUCUCACAUCAAUUCCAUCACUUCCAGCAUUAAUGAGUACUGCUAGGGAGAAAAACCUCACAAUACCAAAAUACAGAGAGGCAACCAGAGAACCUCCAAGAAGUCCCGUGAGGGAGCACAGUCAGUCCUUAAAUGUGGUAAAACUCCCUCAUCGUUUAUCACCAAGAAUGUCUUCAGUCAUCGGUAAAGUUCCUGAACGAACAGUUAAUCCAGAAAUAAGAAUUCAUCCGGCGAAACCGGAGUCAGUAAGUCAAGAAAAGAAAACCUCUGAAAAGUUUUUGGUUCCGGUUGAAGAAUCAAACUAUGAAAACUGUUCCAAGGAGGAAUCUUCUGACUCAGAAGACUUCCUUCCACCACGGAAACGGCCAGAUUUCCUGGCCCUGAAGCCUCAACAAUUUAUGCCCAAAUCUUCUCUUGCCUUGAUUGGUACAACUUUAGUUAGCCCUGAUACUCCACGACCCAAAAAAAGUUGUGUACAGAUGCUGUUAAAUGGGUCAGCUUAUACUUAUUUAGGGCACAAAGUUUCUACAAAGUCUUAUUUUUGUUGUAUCUACAGACAGCAGCCCAUGUAUGUACCCCAAUCAACUGAUCCUAAGCUAUCUAUGUAUUCUAACUGGCAGAUUAGAAAACCAGCGGAAGACAAUCCUUUCAAGUUAACACCGUAUCAGGGAAUGGGAUUAUAUGAAUCGCGGAAGUAUGAUCGUGCAUAUACUAUUGCAAAACCCAAAGAAUUAAAUUUAAUUCAAACUCAUUCAUCAUAUUGGACGUUUAAGGAAGAAAAAGAAAAGAAUAAGGAAAAGGAAGACAUUGUGAAGGAUGAAGAGAAAAUGGAUAUUAAAAGCGAAGAGUCGUGUACAAAAGUGUCUGAACAAAGUGUCUCAGAAGGAAGUGGAUCAAUAAAACGAGAGUCUGAGGACGAUAGUCGAGACUCUUAUAAGACGAAUGAUGAGGCAGGGAGAUCAGAUAGUGGCUCAGUCAAGCGUGUAAAAAUUUUUGAAGGAGGUUUCAAGAGCAGUGAAGACUACACAUAUGUCAGGGGUCGUGGCCGAGGGAACUACGUGUGUGAAACUUGUGGAAUUCGCUGUAAGAAACCAUCUAUGUUAAAGAAGCACAUCCGUACACACACAGAUCUCCGCCCAUAUGCUUGUGGUCACUGUACUUUCAGUUUCAAGACGAAGGGAAACCUGACAAAACACCUAAGAUCAAAGGCUCAUUACAAGCGGUGUGUGGAGAUGGGCAUUGAUCCCGUCCCUACUGUGGUUGAUGAAAGUCACGUCAAUGAAGAAGCUCUCGCUUUGCAGGGGAAGAUGGAACAAGAAGACAGACUUGACAACAUUGAUUGUGAUGAUGAUGAUGAUGAAGAUGACGAUGAUGAUGAUGAUGAUGAUGAUGAAGAGGAUGAUGAUGACCCAAUGGGUGAAAACCAAGUUGAAGAUGCACUUAGUAUACAAAACCAGCAUAGGGAUAGUGGUUAUCAGGAAAGAGAAAACAAAAAGGUUGAAGUAACAGAGGAAUUGAAAGAUUGCCACCCUGAGCCUGUUGCUGCAGUAUCACGGUCUGGUGUAUUAGUCAUGCAACCAACGAGUCGUAACUGUUCUGGUAGUCCAAAGGAAGUUACGGUUCAGAAAGUUACCAAUAAUGUAGAGUCAUCACGAGAUUCACCCAUGGAUUUAAGUGUUAAGAAAACAAUGGCUGUAAAUUUUAUCACUGUAAUAGACAAAACUUCCACACCAAAAAAAUCAAUUCCCAGAAGACCAAGUUUUUUACCACUAAUGAGCACUGGGAGUAAGCCAUCUAUUACAGACCUCAGAUCUCCAGUUGGCAGUUUGGCAUCUCCUGGCACUCAAUCAACACCCAUCAGGGAACACCCUUCAGAAAUUUUGUCACCGGUGACAGAAUCGUCAACCCUUCUUAAGACAAUUUAUAAUACAACUGAGAGAGCCUCGCAUGUUUCCUUUGAGAAGCAAAGUAUUGUUCCUGACCCAACAAAGGAAAAUGGUUGCAGUAGUUCAAUGUUGCAAGCAUACCUAAAAGAGCGUGCUAUGUUAGACACUACAAUAAAGAGACAACAGUAUAAAGACUCGUCCUCAGAUACUUCACCAGAUUCUCCACAUAGUAGUUUAGCAUCUGCAUCUAUUUCAUCAGGAUCAAGUGCAGUAGAGAGUGUUGAAACAUUAAGCAAGCCAGAAAGUACAAGUGAUGGUGAAAAAUCAGAAAAAGAAAGUAAAAAAGAAGGAAAACAAGAAGAUGCUUCUGGUGGCAUUAGUGAUGAACAGAGUCCUCUUUCAAUGCCAUCUUCUUCAGGCAGUUGCAGCACCAUCACCUCCAGUGCCCUUCAGUCUACCACUUCACGAAUGCCAACACCACCCGCUAACCUGACUGUAAUGAACAGUGGCGGCAUGGACACCAAAACUUCCUUCCUUGUGCCCAGUGGAGUUGUUCCCUCUUCUCUCAACAGGCUGGGGAAUGAUGAUGGCAAGUGUAAAUGCAGCAUAUGCCACAAAGAGUUCAAUCGGCAGGCGCAGCUGAGCCUCCACAUGAACAUCCACUACAUGGAAAGGCCAUAUCGGUGUGACUCUUGUGCAGUAUCAUUCAGAACUAAUGGUCACCUCCAGAAGCAUAAACGAUCUGUUAGUCAUUUUAAUAAGGUGAACAUGAAUAUGACUUUUGGAACACCAAGUACAGACAAUCCACGCCCCUUUAAGUGUCAUGAUUGCAAAAUUGCUUUCCGAAUUCAUGGCCAUCUAGCAAAACAUCUGCGUUCAAAGAUGCAUAUAAUGAAGCUAGAGUGCCUUGGAAAACUUCCCUUCGGUACUUAUGCUGAAAUUGAACGAUCUGGUGCUAAUCUAAAUGAAAUUGAUACCACAGAUUGUGAUAACUCCUUGGAAAGCUUGCAGGCCAUGGCAUCACGCUUGUAUGAAAAGGAUCCAAGUAAAUUAUCAGCCUGGCAGAAUCAACAGGAGGGGCAUCAUCACCGAGUGCGCACCGUCAGCAAUUCAUCAACAAACUCCGAUGACUACCCAUUACAAGAUGAGCAAGAUGAUGCUCUCGCUGGGUGUGUCAAUGAUGAUGAUAUAGAAGGGGAUGAAGAUGAAGACAUACCAGUGCCUCGGGAUGCUGGGAGACUUGGGUUUUCUGGAGCUGUGGUUGGAACAGGACAUCGUGAACUGCACAGUCCACACUCGCACACGCUUUCAUCUCCAAUUGAAAUUGGCUCAGCCUCCUGGCAUGCCACCUAUGUCAUGAGAAGUUCCUUGAUCUAGAGCACCUUAGUGGUCACCUGUACAGCGUACACAAGGUGUCUGUCACUUACCGCAACAGCUAACCAAGCCCAUGAUGCAGCCAUAUACAUGUGGACUAUGUGAGGCCAAGUUUUCAAGCCACAGUCAACUGAUAAGCCACAGCCAACACCACCUCCCACCCUCUGGCAUGAUGAGUCUCAAAUCCUCUUG